CGGGGCAUGGCGCAGGGGUAGCGCGCGCGGUUCGGGACCGCGAGGCCGCUGGUUCAAAUCCAGCUGCCCCGA
rnacentral:tRNA from 1 species